CACUUCCUGUCCUUACAGGGAAUGCUUUUGCUGUUGGUUGGAGAGUACUUGGAUUUCUGGGCUCGUGAGCCACAGCAUAUGGUUCUUCAUGAAUUGUUGAGUCUGAACAUAGAAGAACUUUCCUUGGUGCUCCACCGUAGCCUGGCCCUCUAUCUAUAUGGGUACAUCUGUCUGUAGCUAUCAUUCCAGAGACUAUAGUCUGCCUUAAGGAGGGUGAAUGCUGCACUAAAGCUAGUAUGUUUUUAUGCACAGGAGGUAGAGGCAAUAAUGAUUUUGUUAAACCAAAGUAUCAUGCCUGUGCUCUUGAUUCCUACUAGAUAAGGAGCUCAAAGAACAUGUCCAGGAACAAAAAUUGCCUAAUUUUGGAAUGAUUUGCCUAGCACUACACUGAAUCCACCUCCAAACAUCUGCCUCUUUGGAAAAACACAGGGAAAUUAUAAUGUCAAUGAUUCUCCCUAACUUUACAACCUAGGCUUGAGUAAAAUUCUUCCUCGAAUCUUAGGCUUUUCAUCUGUUAGAAGGGAGACAGUGGGGAGCAAAAACUUCAUGGUACAGCAGCAAAUCCCUUUUCAGGUUCCUUCCUGUUCUCCAAGAUGUUGAUGAGAGGGUGUUUCUAUCUUAUAUGACUUUCUGAUUAGACUACUGGAAAGAAAGGCUUUGGUGCUCAUUGGUGAAAAGUACCUCUGUCUCCCUUUUAUUGUAUAAUGAUUUUGCCUGUUAUAAUUGCUACCUACUGUUUAGUGUGGAAUUUGCCAACAUAUUCUCUGUCUAAAUGACGGUGAACAUUUUAUUAAGAGAGAAUGUUCUCCUAGGACUCUGAUACACUACAGUUCAGUGACUUGGCAUCUAUCAUGUAGCUGGUUCUGGGUGUGUCCAUUGAGGUACCAUUAAUGUAUAAAUUUAAAGACGUGUGAUAGGAGUUGUUGGCAGCAUAACUUCAAGUACAUGGUAAAGGUUGACCACAGCUCUUGCACCUCAGUCAUUGAUGUGACACUCAUCUGUGGCUAUGCCCAUGUAUAACAGCAACCAAUAAUUUUUGAAGCAUUGGGAACAUAGAUCAUGUACAAAACAAAAGCACUCCACUCCUUUCUUUUCUUUUGUUUGCUUUUCUUCUAGGUUUCAUGGUACAGGCUCUUCUGGAGCACAUGCUGGCCUCACCAUCACUAUAUAGCCAAAGUUGGCUUGAAUGUUGCUCAUCAUGCUGCCACUUUCAAAAAUUUUAUAAUUAGUAUGGGCUCAUCUUUAUGAGAUUCUAUUGAUUUUCCCCUUUAAAAAAUGUGUGUAAGCUGACUUUGGAGGGCUCUGAUCAGGCAGGGCACAGCUAAGUUGAUUGUGUCUAGAUGUGUUGUAUGCAUGUCUGUGUUAGGCCACCUGAUUUGUCAAACUUCAACCUCAAUACAGCAAUAGUAAGAUUUUGGAACUCACAAGUAGUAGAGACUUGCUACAGUGCAGAACAUGUGGCCUUUAGCAAAGGGAUCUAUAGAAUGAUUUCAUGCUAUUUUUUGACUAUCUUAGAAUACCUCUACAGUGCCAAUUAAAAACAACUCUGUUAUGCAAUCUGCUACCUUGCUCUUGCCAUGCCAACAUUAAGAUGCACAAGCAAGCAAUUUCUGUUGUUUGUAAGGAGACAACUAAAGCAUAUUUUGAGAGUAGAAGGGCCUAUGUUGCCAGGAUACUGCUCCAUCUUUCACAUCUCUUGUUUAUAGUGUCCUGGCUGACAGGUAUUUCCUUGGUCAUGUUAAACAUGUCAGCCCCCUGUCCAUGGAUCAUGGGCUUUGGUGAGAAGGCUCAGGCCUAAUAAGGACAUGGGAUGAAUGGUGUCCUCUUCUUUGCAGCCCCACAGAUUAUGGUUUCACACCCUGGGGCACUACAAAAAAACAAUAUUUUGUCAUAACUCCCAACUUAGUAAGGAGCUAACGUCCUUUACCAUCCAUUAAUCUUAUUUUAAAAAUAACAAACUGAAUACUUUGAGUAUAGACAUGAAUUACUAAAAAGUUGUAAAAGCUGGAUUCCAAGUGGAAAACAAAACACUCUCCAUCUACUAGCUAGUGUGUACCAGAGCCCAUACAUGAGGACAGACAAAGCUCUGGAGUUCAUUGACAUUCUUAGGAUUUCCGGUUUGAUGUUUAACAUGGAAACUGUCUGUAUUAAAGUUUCAGUGUCAAAGUUCCCACAGAGUGUCCAGUGUUUGAAUGUUGUUCCCACCCAGUGUCACGUUUUGAGGAAAGUUAAGGGCCUUGGGCUGUGGGCCUAACAGGAAAAAAAACAAUGGAUCAAUGGACAAUAUUGGAGACAAACAUUUGAGUGUAAGCAGCCCUCUACUGCCCCACUGAGGAAGAACCUUGGAAACAGAAAGCCAGAAGAACCAGUGGGCUCUGCCCAGCCACCAUUGGUCCAUUUUUGCUCCGACAUCACAAAGAAGCAUCGUAGGACAUCAUAGAUACCUGUUCACUUACAGAUCUGCCUGCGACUGUCUCCUGUCCUUACAGUACUCAAGUUGGCAUUUGGUUGAAAAACUACUAGAGUCCGAUGCUGCUGGAAGAUUCUACUGGAACUUCCAGGAGCUUUUACACAUUGACAUAGUGCAUUUAUCUCCACAUUGGUGACUUUGAUUUACCUUUUUCAUAGUGAUUUGCAUAUUUGCUGUCUUGAUUUAUGCAUUUCAUUUUUCCAUGUUCUUUAUUAUCUUCCAAACUACUUUUUCUUAAUUUAAGUUAUGUUUGAUAAUUUAGAGAAUUUUGUUUUCAUUUAUAUGUAUAAGUAUUUUGCCUUUAUGUAUGUUUGAGCACCAUGUCCCUGGUGUCUUCUGUGUAGGUCAGAAGAGGAAAUCAGAUUUUCUGGAACUGGAAUAGGACAUGGUUGUGAGUUCCUAUCCCACACCUAGAAUUAAAACAAUAACAUGUUCACUUACCAUAAUCGGGGUUUUAAACAAACCCAAACUCUUAUUAAAACUACCAGUAGUUGCACUUCCAGAAAAUCUGAUGCCCUGUACUGUCCUUCAAAGGUCAUAAAUAAUGUUACAUAAAAAGGUUUGUAUAACUUUUUAAAGUGACGUAUUGUGCCUGUGACUGUGCUGUGUAUGGAUGCCCUAUAGGUCAGAAGUAUACGACCUUCUAGAACUGGAUUUAGGGUACUUGUGGACUACCUGACCUGUAUCCCGAGAACCAAAUACAGGUCCUCUGCAGAAAUCAUAGACAUUGUGGACUCCAAAGCCAGCUCCCCAGCCUGGACCCAGUGAGUUUUGAAGUGUCUGUUGUAUCAUCAACUCCUCUUGAACCUGAUUUUCUUGCUGUGUUGGUUCACAGUGAUUGCUGAGAUCAGGGGAGAGGAAGGCUGUCCUUUUCAAUGAACAGUUCUUAGUGUCUGUGAGCCUUUGUUUGCAGUUGAUCCCUGUCAACAUGAUCUGGCUCUCAGUUUGUAUCUACUGCUUUAGAAGGUAUUUCAUUGUCUUCUCAAGCAUUCAAUGUGCUUGACUAGCUUGUCUGACAUUUUUUUUACUUUUUAUUAUAUUUAUUAAUUUGUGGCUGUGACAACUACCCCACUUUCCAAGAAAGUUUUCUUUUGAUACUGCUACAGUGUUCUGCAAUAUCAUGGUAAGGGACUGUAAGUGGCAUGAAAUAUAAGGACCACAAUUUUUAACUGCAAACUAUAAUGGUGUGUAAUGAUUAAAUGAAAAUAUUUGUUAUGGAUAGUCCGAUGAAGAUUCCAAAAUAUCAUAUCAAAGGUAUUUUCAAUUGUUUCUCCUGUCUUGUUGGGUAUUUGUAGCUACAAACAUUGUCUUGUGCAUGAUUUAAAAUGUCCCAUUUUUAAUUCCUCAUUGCAAUUUUGGUUCCAGUCAUAUCAUGAAGGGCGUGAUCAUGGAGCAGGACCAGCUGGCCUACUCCUGUAUUGAUGAGAAUGUCACAACUAACUAUAAGUUGUUGGCCACCCUGGUUGAAGGGAACUUUUUAGAGGUCUAACUGGCUUUCCAUGUCCUCACACUGACCUGUGUGGCUGUAAAAAUUUUCCAAAAUGUCAAGAUAUAUGUCUUGCUUUUCUGCAGGAAAAUCAGCAAUGUGAAAUCACUUGACCAUCCUAACUUUAUCAAGCUGUUUCACAUGGUCAGACAAGAGAAAACACCCACCAGUUGAAGGAUAAUGCCUCGGAUGGAGAGAUACUAGAACAAGUCAUUGAAGGUGGGGUCUUUAGAGGAAAGUCUCUAUGCAAGGUUCAAAGAUGUUUGCCGAGAUAGUACAUGCUGUGCAGUACUGCCAUGACCAUCAAAUUUUCCACAGAGACAUAAAGUCCAGCAAGCUGUUAAUCGACAGCAGUAGGAACACCAAGCUGUGUGAUUUUGGCCUGGGCAGAAGCUAGCAGAUUUCUGGGACACACUUCCUUACAGUGCCCCAGAAUUUUAGCAAGCACAGGAACAUGAGAGCUACCCUGUGGAUAUAUGGAGUUUAGGGGUCCUCCUGUUCUUCAAGGUGGCCAGGAUCUCAGCUUUCUGCGGCAAGUAUUUUGCAGGUGUGAAACUGCAGAUUAUCAAGCACCACAAACUUUAGCAUUCCUUUUUAUGUUUCCAUUUAUUUUUUAAGGUCAUCAUUGAACUAUUGAUGGUCAAUUCCAGAAGAAAUCCCACCAUCCACAAAAUCAUGAUGUGCCUCAUGAUUAGUGAAAUGAGGCAUGUUUAUUACCUCCUUCCUGUGUAUUUCUGCUUUGAAGUUUUAAAGAGGACCAGAAGCCAGAGAGUAGGAAUGUACAGGCUCUUUUAACAAUUUUAUGGUAAAUAUAAUCCUCGUAUCAGCAUCUGACUGAAACAUUCUAAGACCCAAGUAUAUCCAUGUGUCCAAUCCUGGUUUCAAACGGUGGAGGUAAAUUUAAUAUUUAGGGGAAUGCACCGUUCCCUUGUUUUAGAAUUAGAACCUCUACAACGGGAAUCUGGGACAUGUAUAUUAGUAGGACGGGAGCAAUUAUAAGUCAAACAACACAGUGUAUUAGGUGAUAAAAUUCUUAAGAACAGGAGAAAGGGGCCAGGCAAGAAAGCUAGAGGGUGGCCCAUUGAGAGCUGGUGGAACAACGAGAUCAGGUGAUAAAUAGCAUUCAGUCACACAACUAAACAAAUGAGGAAGCUUUCUUGGGACAAAAAGGCCAGUGCAAAAAGCAGCACAAGCUUUGUGUCUGUGAUACAGAAAGGCAAGCACAUACACCUCUUGCACACUCACACCUGUAUUCACCUUAUUGAUUCUGUGAGACUGGUGUCCAGCCAGCUCUAAGAUCUGUCUGUCUCCCUCAUACUCCACGAUACUGAGGUUACAGACACAUCGGCACCACGCCUAAUUUGCAGGUGGGUUCUGGGCAUUUGAACUCAGGUCCUCAUGCUUGCACAAAAAUCAUUUCACCACUGAGCCAUCUCUUCUGUCCCUCUAAUUUGAUGACCUUAGACAAAAGCGUGGCAGCUUAAAACAAAGGUUUUGCAUACCACAUUCUUACACCAGCAGGCUGUCAAGAUUUUUCCAGCCUUUUGAUUAUCUAAUAGGUAGAGAAAAUGAAGCUGACCAAGUCUCCUAAGUGGUAACGUAAUAUAAUAAUAAUAAUAAUAAUAAUAAUAAUAAUAAUAAUAAUAAUAAUAAUAUAAUAAGGGUGCUGCUUACUGCCUUGUUCACUGUGGCCUGCUUAGCCUGCUUUUCUAUAGCGCAAGGGACCCCCAGCCCAGCGAUGGCCCCACAAUGGUCUGGGCCCUCCCACAUCAAUGACUGAUGAAGAAAAUGCCUUACAGGUUUGCCUGCAGCCCAGUCUUACAGAACAUUGUUAAAUUGUGGUUCUCUCCUCUGAGAUGACUCCAGUUUGUGUCAAAUUGACAUAAAACUAGCCAGAACAUGAAUGUUGACCAAAAAAAAAAAAAUUCUGAAGAAUAAACUGAUGGUGGAAAUCUGAUUUCUUAACUUCCAAUCAUAAGUACUAAAUUUUUCAUUUUUAAUUCCGUAUUCUUGGACCUAAGCCUGGGAGUCUUUCAAGAAGGGAUUUAUAAUAUCUUUUAGUAGCUUAGUGUUACACUGAGCCACAUAAAAUUAAUGUUUUUGAGAGUUAGAGGCAGCUUAAUAUGCAUAAUGUAAGGUUUAUCCUAUCACCAAAGUACAGGUGACCUGGUCUACAUUGAACAAUUGUUGUACAUGGAAGGCUCUGUGUAAGACUUAAGAUGGUGUUGGAAUAUUAUAAAGACAGAAUCAGGCAUGAGGAGUUCAUGGCGAUGAGAGUGAGUGACAAGCCACUCGGGUCUCCUGUCUGAGAGUUGAGCUGCUUCCUCACAGAUCCGCGUACAGAGGUGAGGCCGGUGUCAGUCUGUCCCUUGUUCAUCCUCCCCAAAUAGAGAGAGAGAUUGGUCAAUUAACUUAUCAAAAGUGUGUUUUCAGUUUAUAUUCUUGUAGAUUAUAGUUAUAUAAAAAUUUAGAAAUAAUAUAUACAUACAUGCAAACAUACACUCAUACAUACAUGCAUACAUACACACACACAUACAUACAGACAAACAUGAAUGACUGGAAAAUCCACACUUAAAAAGACAUUAGGAAGUAACCUGGGGCAGCUCGUUACCACCCCGUAGGUGCUGAAAGCACACAGUAAUCUCCUUGGUUUAGAUGAAGAUGUUUUAAAAUAACACAAGUCACAAUAGGAGCAGAAACAAGGAACAGAACAAAGAUUUGAAAAAAACAGAGCUCUUUUUCUCCUCUCUUCUCUCAGUGCCCCUUCCUCUCUCCUACUCACCCCCUUUCCCCAUGGCAACUUCCUUGGCCUUGGUCCUUGGGGCCAGUGAACUUGCCCACCAGAAAGCAUCUUCCCAAUAAAGCCAACUUUAAUAUAAAAAA